rnacentral:sRNA from 1 species
CUUAUGUAGAUUACUCUUAGAUUUAAGCAGACAGUUUUAUAGAGGAACUAAGAAAAAAAUGGAAGCUCUCUUGAUAAAAAGUCUGAUUUUCCCUGAGUACCAAAACAGACCUCAGUAAUAUUUUGGAAAUGUGUCUGAAAGUGUUUUGCAAGACUGAAGAAGUUGCAUGAGAAGCUUUCCAGGAUCACAAUGGAAAGGAAAGGAAAACACUUGCCUUCAUGAGAAACCCUCUAAAUUUUAGUGAGAGAACAUUGUUAAUUUUUUGUUGUUGUUGUCUUUGGUUUAAAAGAUUUGAAUUAAUUGGUCUCUUUGCAGCUUGUCUGAAAAGAAAUAUCAAUUAGGAAAUCUACUUGGUAGUUUAAUUUAUUUUCGUUUUAUGUAAAGAGUAUCAUUUGGGUUCUUUUUAAAACCUCUGAACUCAGGUAAAGAGUAGGAUUGCAGAGUCUCUCCUCUGUUGAUUCCUGCCUCCCCUUUGAUGACCCCCGGGGAGGUAUGUUUGUUUUCUUAAUAGCAUUUGAAUCUUCUUGAGACAUCUCAUAAAGUGGAUUUCUCUGUCAAAAUAUUCUUUUUUAAGCCUUCAAAAACAAAAAUUCUUACUGUCUUCUUUGAUGAUUUCUUAUGUUCAGGUUCAGACAGUAACUUUAAUUCCAGGAGAUGGUAUUGGCCCAGAAAUUUCAGCUGCAGUUAUGAAGAUUUUUGAUGCUGCCAAAGCACCUAUUCAGUGGGAGGAGCGGAACGUCACUGCCAUUCAAGGACCUGGAGGAAAGUGGAUGAUCCCUUCAGAGGCUAAAGAGUCCAUGGAUAAGAACAAGAUGGGCUUGAAAGGCCCUUUGAAGACCCCAAUAGCAGCCGGUCACCCAUCUAUGAAUUUACUGCUGCGCAAAACAUUUGACCUUUACGCGAAUGUCCGACCAUGUGUCUCUAUCGAAGGCUAUAAAACCCCUUACACCGAUGUAAAUAUUGUGACCAUUCGAGAGAACACAGAAGGAGAAUACAGUGGAAUUGAGCAUGUGAUUGUUGAUGGAGUCGUGCAGAGUAUCAAGCUCAUCACCGAGGGGGCGAGCAAGCGCAUUGCUGAGUUUGCCUUUGAGUAUGCCCGGAACAACCACCGGAGCAACGUCACGGCGGUGCACAAAGCCAACAUCAUGCGGAUGUCAGAUGGGCUUUUUCUACAAAAAUGCAGGGAAGUUGCAGAAAACUGUAAAGAUAUUAAAUUUAAUGAGAUGUACCUUGAUACAGUAUGUUUGAAUAUGGUACAAGAUCCUUCCCAAUUUGAUGUUCUUGUUAUGCCAAAUUUGUAUGGAGACAUCCUUAGGUUCAUGGGACGGCUCCAGACAUUGCAGGCAAGGACAUGGCGAAUCCCACAGCCCUCCUGCUCAGUGCUGUGAUGAUGCUGCGCCACAUGGGACUUUUUGACCAUGCUGCAAGAAUUGAGGCUGCGUGUUUUGCUACAAUUAAGGACGGAAAGAGCUUGACAAAAGAUUUGGGAGGCAAUGCAAAAUGCUCAGACUUCACAGAGGAAAUCUGUCGCCGAGUAAAAGAUUUAGAUUAACACUUCCACAACUGGCAUUUACAUCAGUCACUCUAAAUGGACACCACAUGAACCUCUGUUUAGAAUACCUACGUAUGUAUGCAUUGGUUUGCUUGUUUCUUGACAGUACAUUUUUAGAUCUGGCCUUUUCUUAACAAAAUCUGUGCAAAAGAUGCAGGUGGAUGUCCCUAGGUCUGUUUUCAAAGAACUUUUUCCAAGUGCUUGUUUUAUUUAUUAAGUGUCUACCUGGUAAAUGUUUUUUUUUGUAAACUCUGAGUGGACUGUAUCAUUUGCUAUUCCAAACCAUUUUACACUUAAGUUAAAAUAGUUUCUCUUCAGCUGUAAAUAACAGGAUACAGAAUUAACAAGAGAAAAAUGUCUAACUUUUUAAGAAAAACCUUAUUUUCUUCGGUUUUUGAAAAACAUAAUGGAAAUAAAACAGGAUAUUGACAUAAUAGCACAAAAUGACACUCUUCUAAAACUAAAUGGGCACAAGAGAAUUUUCCUGGGAAAGUUCACAUCAAAAAGAGUGAAUGUGGUAUAUUUCUAAAUGAUAUGGAAAAUAGAGACAGAUUUGUCCUUUACAGAAAUUACUGAGUGUGAAUAAAAACUUCAGAUCCAAGAAAUAUAUAACGAGAGAUAUAAUUUUUGUUAAUAAGACAAAGGUAAUAUAUUGGAUACAAAGAUAC